rnacentral:rRNA from 1 species
UACGUAGGGGGCAAGCGUUGUUCGGAAUUACUGGGCGUAAAGGGCGCGUAGGCGGCAUGGCAAGUCGGGAGUGAAAGCCCGGGGCUCAACCCCGGAGGGUCUCUCGAAACUGCCGAGCUAGAGUGCGGAAGAGGCAAUCGGAAUUCCCAGUGUAGCGGUGAAAUGGCGUAGAUAUUGGGAAGAACACCGGAGGCGAAGGCGGAUUGCUGGGCCGACACUGACGCUGAGGCGCGAAAGCCAGGGGAGCAACGGG